rfam:Stegodyphus mimosarum contig81150, whole genome shotgun sequence.
GCCUUCUUAGUGUAGUGGUCAGCACGCUCGACGCGUAACCGAAAGACCCGUGGUUCGAUUCCCGGCGAAGGCU